GGUAACGACAGCACAAAAUUACAGUCUGAUUUAAACUUGUCCUAGAGCUACUCUACUAUCUAUUGGAAUGGACACAAAUGCGCUCACCAAGCUUUAGGCCUUACUAGAUCUCGUCGGUGAAGGCGCCAAUGCAUCCCUGCGGCGACAUAAGAAGUUAGUGACAAAGUUUCUACAACCAUGAAGUUUAAAUACAAAUAAAUUGUUUUAUUUGCCUAAUAUUUCUUUCGAUAUUC